rnacentral:rRNA from 1 species
GAUGAACGCUGGCGGCGUGCCUAAUACAUGCAAGUCGAGCGAACAGACGAGGAGCUUGCUCCUCUGACGUUAGCGGCGGACGGGUGAGUAACACGUGGAUAACCUACCUAUAAGACUGGGAUAACUUCGGGAAACCGGAGCUAAUACCGGAUAAUAUAUUGAACCGCAUGGUUCAAUAGUGAAAGACGGUUUUGCUGUCACUUAUAGAUGGAUCCGCGCCGCAUUAGCUAGUUGGUAAGGUAACGGCUUACCAAGGCAACGAGGCGUAGCCGACCUGAGUGGGUGAUCGGCCACACUGGAACUGAGACACGGUCCAGACUCCUACGGGAGGCAGCAGUAGGGAAUCUUCCGCAAUGGGCGAAAGCCUGACGGAGCAACGCCGCGUGAGUGAUGAAGGUCUUCGGAUCGUAAAACUCUGUUAUUAGGGAAGAACAAAUGUGUAAGUAACUAUGCACGUCUUGACGGUACCUAAUCAGAAAGCCACGGCUAACUACGUG